rnacentral:sRNA from 1 species
GAACACAAAAUGGCGACACGUGGUUAGCAUUCGUCGCCAACGAGAAAUUGGGGUCGGCCCGAAAGCUCUAGAAUGCACCCCUCUUCCUCCCCGGGGCCUUCCACCUCCGCGAGUUUUAUGACUUAAAAAAGCCCACAGGCUGGUCUGAAGGUCGGAGGCCUAAUUUUAACGCGUUUUCCUCCCUUUAAUUUGAAACGGGAACGCGAAUGACUGUAAAAUGAAGACAAACAUAAAGAUGAAGUGCUUAAUUCAAGGUCACACAAUGUCGGGGAUGGACCUCCAGAUUUCCUUACUGACCUGCAUUAUCUUGUGGAUACCUGAGUGAAUUCCACACCACCCAUUUUAUAGAUGAAACCACUGAGACAUGGAGCAAUUGACUGAGUAGUCACUGCCCCACCCCUGCCUGGAGCCUCACACAUGACUCGCCUCCUCUCAGUGACCACAGGUUGGUUGAGGGGUUUAACAAGGCUAAGAAGGUGAGACGUGGUCUUGUAACACAGUGGUUAAGAAUGUGACUUUGGAGCCAGCCUGCUAGGGGCUGAAUUCUGACUCAGCCAUUUACUAACUGUGUGACCUUAGGGAGGAGGACCUGGUUGAUAGAAGAAUUUAUCUCGUAGUCUUAACAUCCACUGUAAUUCCAAACUUUGAGGACGAUAGAGAUCAGUGGGCUUUGACUGCCCAGCAUGCAGUCUCCAUUCUUAGGUGGGUUCCCAAGCCUGUAAAAUGUAAGCCUUAUGCUGCUGAGGGCCAUCUUGCCACCCUGAGGGAAACGCUGCCUGAGAAUGAAACAAGCAUAAGUAAAAGCUGAGCUGUGAGAUGGAGCAAGAUGAAGGCCACAUGACAUCUUUGGAGCACCUGGAUCUAACUGUGCCUUAAGCUAGUCUAACCCUGAACAUUUCAUCAUUUCAUUGACAUGAGCCCAGGUUUUCUUUUUUUUUGGAUGGAGUCUUGCUCUGUCGCCCAGGCUGGAGUGCAGUAGCUCAAUCUCGGCUCACUGCAAGCUCCACCUCCCGGGUUCACGCCAUUCUCCUGCCUUAGCCUCCCAAGUAGCUGGGACAACAGGCGCCCACCACCACUCCCAGCUAAUUUUUUGUAUUUUUAGUAGAGACGGGGUUUUACCAUGUUAGCCGGGAUGGUCUUGAUCUCCUGACCUCAUGAUCCGCCCGCCUCGGCCUCCCAAAGUGCUGGGAUUACAGGUGUGAGCCACUGCACCCAGCCCUCAGGUUUUCCCUUUUUUUACCCCUCCUUUUGAAAAUUUGAUGUGGAAUUUUGCCACCUGCAGCCAGAAGAGUUUUAACUAAUCAGUGCCAUAAAUUUUAUAUAGUUCUCCUUGCAAAAUGUGGAUCAGCCUUUCUCAGCAAAUCCUUUGUCAUAAAGUGCUGAAUUGUAAGUUUGUCAUGAGAAUCACAUGAGAUCAUGCAUGUGAAGAACCUGGCAUUAUCCUCCUCAUAGAAAAAAACCAGUAAAUAUUAACUACAGGAAGCAAGGAAGGAGUGGGGUGAGGGGAAGAAGAAGGGGUACUGAUUUAAAAGAACCCUGGAGUCCUAAGGAUAAUCUAGGAACCCUCAGACCCAAUCCGAUACCCCUAUUCUAAAUGCUCCUAGUGCCCUGUACCUUCCCCUCAUAAGCCUUCAUUAUCAUUGUAAUGAUAUGUUUAUGUAAUAUUUUGAUUAAUGUCUCUCCUUCACUGACCUAGCAGUUCUAGCAGGGCAGUGAUUUUGCUGUGUUGCAUCCCCAGCACCUAGUCUGGUAUGUGGCAUUCAGCAUAUGUUUAUUGAAUGAAUGGCCAUGUGGUUAUUCAGAUCCUCCUUGAUUAUUGGGGUUAGGAUUGUGGCAGAAGUGGCAAAAUCAGGGAGAGUAGUCCCUGUCCCCUCUGUAUCUUAUACACUGCCCACACUCCCAACACACAUACACAUACAGAGAAUUUUGUCUCAAUUAGAUAAUUAACUUCUGCUUGGUUGUAAACCAAACCACUGGUUCUUAAACUUUCAUUGGAUCAUUUUAUUGAAGAAUUAAAUAGUGUGGUUCUGGCCUAAUGUCUGGAAAGCCUUGCAGAGGAGUGGAUUAGGUCUUUGUGAUAAACAGGCAGCCUUCCCUGCUCCUGUGUCUUUAUAAAAUCUAUUUAACUGGAGUAGUCCACCCUCCCUCAGGCUCUUACAGGAAUAUGUUGGAGGCUGUAGGAAGGUGGGAAACCGAGAGGGAAAGGACUGGGCCGCUGGAGACUUCACUCAUUCCCUAGCAAGAAACAAAAGCAGUAAAAGGUGGCCCGAGGACAACCUGAAGCUCACUCCUUCAGCACUUUUGGCUGGAGGUCACUUGUUGGAGCCCCACUCAGAGCUCAGCACACCACCCCACCAGCAGCCUCCUCCUCCCAGCUGAGGCUGCAUUUCAUCCCUUCCCCCAGCCUGCUUUCCCUGAGAUAGGGGAGUGUUUCCCAGGGCCCAUGUGACUUCCACUGGCAAGUGACGAUUACCAAUGGUUUACUAGUCAGUGAAACUACCAAAGGCUUUUGUGCUGUAGUAAUCCUUUUCCUGUUUAAAACUCUGGGGAUUUUCUAAUGUUGCCAAUAGUUUUUCAAGUCAGCAAUUACUGUGUGGAUUAUGUAAUGGCUCGGUAUUAAAAA